CUAGAGAUAGAAAGUUACUUCGGUACAUCGGUGACAGUGGUGCAUGGUUGUCGUCAGCUCGUGUCGUGAGAUGUUGGGUUAAGUCCGCAACGAGCGCAAUCCCUAUUGUUAGUUGCCAUCAUUCAGUUGGGCACUCUAGCGAGACUGCCGGUAAUAAACCGGAGGAAGGUGGGGAUGACGUCAAAUCAUCAUGCCCCUUAUGACCUGGGCUACACACGUGCUACAAUGGUUGGUACAACGAGUUGCGAGUCGGUGACGGCGAGCUAAUCUCUUAAAGCCAAUCUCAGUUCGGAUUGUAGGCUGCAACUCGCCUACAUGAAGUCGGAAUCGCUAGUAAUCGCGGAUCAGCACGCCGCGGUGAAUACGUUCCCGGGCCUU
rnacentral:rRNA from 1 species